UGAACCCAUCGGGGAACGAUAACGGCGUCGAGCGGCGGACGGGUGAGUAAUGCCUGGGAAAUUGCCCUGAUGUGGGGGAUAACCAUUGGAAACGAUGGCUAAUACCGCAUAAUAGCUUCGGCUCAAAGAGGGGGACCUUCGGGCCUCUCGCGUCAGGAUAUGCCCAGGUGGGAUUAGCUAGUUGGUGAGGUAAUGGCUCACCAAGGCGACGAUCCCUAGCUGGUCUGAGAGGAUGAUCAGCCACACUGGAACUGAGACACGGUCCAGACUCCUACGGGAGGCAGCAGUGGGGAAUAUUGCACAAUGGGCGCAAGCCUGAUGCAGCCAUGCCGCGUGUAUGAAGAAGGCCUUCGGGUUGUAAAGUACUUUCAGCAGUGAGGAAGGUGGAUGUGUUAAUAGCGCAUUCAUUUGACGUUAGCUGCAGAAGAAGCACCGGCUAACUCCGUGCCAGCAGCCGCGGUAAUACGGAGGGUGCGAGCGUUAAUCGGAAUUACUGGGC
rnacentral:rRNA from 2 species